UGGGGAAUAUUGCACAAUGGAGGGAACUCUGAUGCAGCGACGCCGCGUGAACGAAGAAGGCCUUCGAGUCGUAAAGUUCUUUUAUAUGGGAAGAUAAUGACGGUACCAUAAGAAAAAGCCCCGGCUAACUACGUGCCAGCAGCCGCGGUAAUACGUAGGGGGCUAGCGUUGUCCGGAAUCACUGGGCGUAAAGGGUUCGCAGGCGGAAAUGCAAGUCAGGUGUAAAAGGCAGUAGCUUAACUACUGUAAGCAUUUGAAACUGCAUAUCUUGAGAAGAGUAGGGGUAAGUGGAAUUUUUAGUGUAGCGGUGAAAUGCGUAGAUAUUAAAAAGAAUACCGGUGGCGAAGGCGACUUACUGGGCUCAUUCUGACGCUGAGGAACGAAAGCGUGGGUAGCAAACAGG
rnacentral:rRNA from 1 species